AAUUUUGGCUAGUUUUUGCGGCAACUUUGAUCACUAGAAAUAGCCUUAUUUCUUGUAGUGAGCAAAGCCACGGUUUUCUUUUCCGAUGUAAUGUUCCCUAACGAUUAUCCCACCAUAGAUCUUGGCUGCCUCGUCGCUGUUGAUGAUGACAGGCUGGUCUGGCUUUAAUA